rnacentral:rRNA from 1 species
GAUGAACGCUGGCGGCGUGCCUAAUACAUGCAAGUCGAGCGAACAGAUAAGGAGCUUGCUCCUUUGACGUUAGCGGCGGACGGGUGAGUAACACGUGGGUAACCUACCUAUAAGACUGGGAUAACUUCGGGAAACCGGAGCCAAUACCGGAUAAUAUUUUGAACCGCAUGGUUCAAUAGUGAAAGACGGUUUUGCUAUCACUUAUAGAUGGACCCGCGCCGUAUUAGCUAGUUGGUAAGGUAACGGCUUACCAAGGCGACGAUGCAUAGCCGACCUGAGAGGGUGAUCGGCCACACUGGAACUGAGACACGGUCCAGACUCCUACGGGAGGCAGCAGUAGGGAAUCUUCCGCAAUGGGCGAAAGCCUGACGGAGCAACGCCGCGCGAGUGAUGAAGGUCUUCGGAUCGUAAAACUCUGUUAUUAGGGAAGAACAUAUGUGUAAGUAACUGUGCACGUCUUGACGGUACCUAAUCAGAAAGCCACGGCUAACUACGUG